rnacentral:rRNA from 1 species
AUUGAACGCUGGCGGCAGGCUUAACACAUGCAAGUCGAGCGGGGUGAUGGUGCUUGCACUAUCACUUAGCGGCGGACGGGUGAGUAAUGCUUAGGAAUCUGCCUAUUAGUGGGGGACAACAUCUCGAAAGGGAUGCUAAUACCGCAUACGUCCUACGGGAGAAAGCAGGGGCUCACUUGUGACCUUGCGCUAAUAGAUGUGCCUAAGUCGGAUUAGCUAGUUGGUGGGGUAAAGGCCUACCAAGGCGACGAUCUGUAGCGGGUCUGAGAGGAUGAUCCGCCAAACUGGGACUGAGACACGGCCCAGACUCCUACGGGAGGCAGCAGUGGGGAAUAUUGGACAAUGGGGGGAACCCUGAUCCAGCCAUGCCGCGUGAGUGAAGAAGGCCUUCGGGUUGUAAAGCUCUUUCGGCCGGGAAGAAAUCGCACAGGCUAAUACUCUGUGUGGAUGACGGUACCGGCAUAAGAAGCACCGGCUAACUACGUGCCAGCAGCCGCCGUAA